rnacentral:RNase_P_RNA from 2 species
AGCAGGCUGUGCAGCCGCGCGCGUCUGUCCGAAAGGUGGCGCGUGAGGAAAGUCCGAGCUUUAAGGGCAGGAUAGUUGAUAACAUCAACCGAAGGCGACUUCAGGAAAAGUGCAACAGAGAUAUACCGCCCGCUUUUGCGGGUAAGGGUGGAAACGGGAGGUAAGAGCUCCCGAGGUCCUAUGGUGACAUAGGGGCUAUGUAAACUCUAUCCAAAGCAACACCGUAUAAGAGCUGAGUUAAAUCUCAAGGUCGGCCCGGCCGCUCAGAGGUGGCUUGAGGCAUAUGGCGACAUAUUGUCCAGAUAGAUGGCUGCAUUCAACAGAACUCGGCUUACAGGCCUGCUCA